rnacentral:snoRNA from 1 species
GGCGCUCUGUGCGCCUGAUGCUCCGCCGCGUGACUAUCCCCGUUAUGCAUAUCCUGUGUGCGCUCUAGCUCCAUCGGGGCCCUGAUGAGUCAGCAACAAACCAUGCAUUACACAUUUUGC